UAUUGAUAAGUAAUUAAUACAAUAAAACCCAUUAAUAUUAGUUAUACCAAAUUUUCCUAGGAUCUAACAUUUUUAUUUUACAUUGCACUCACUCUUCCCAUAUUCCUUCUUCUCUUAUUCCUAGGGCUGACAGUUACUAUCUUCCUCCACUAGGAAAAGGGGGAACUACAACAAGGUGAAAGAAGAAAUUACAAGUUGUGAGCAACCUGAGAACACUGCUGGGAGUAUGAUGUUCACAGAGGUGGGAGUUUCUUCCUUUUCUAUCCUGUGCUAUAUUUGGAACUAUAUUUGUUUUUUCUUAGCAUAUGCUGUCUCCUUCUCGCUGCUUCCCUGCUAAAUUCAGUCAGCUGCCUGCCCCAGCUGGCACCACUGAGUGCUGCUCCAAAGGCAGUGACUCUCCAUCUCUGCCAGACCUUUGCUGUUCGUGGGGUUCACAGCUUCAGCUCAUAUACAGUGACACUACAGUCACUUGGCCACUUGGGGAUUGCUGAAACAAGCUGAAACUGUGCCAAGACAAACUCAGACACAUCCUGACACCAUACUCUGUCAGAGACUUACACCUUUAAGAGGGUUAUAAAUGGCUUACGAAGAUUUUUCUACAAUGUGGCAAAUACUAGGCACUCUGUGUGGCAGGGCCGGCAUGAUGGACUACACUGCACCUACAGGAUCUGCAAUCUGCACACCACUGGUGUGGUUCUCCAAGAUGCUGGUGGCAGAGAAACCUCUUCUGUUUAGUUUAGCACUUGUUUAGUGACCACCUUUUCCCAAACACUGAAUAUUGCCAACCUAACUAGAUAAUUAAUGUAGGAAUUAUCUUUUGCCUCCAGCAUUCAACAAACAGCCCCAAAAUGAUGAAAUACUACUGCAUCACUGAUAUUGUUCACUUCUGCUAGUAUGUGAAUAUUUUUUUCCUACAGCCAUUACACCUCACUUAAAUUUCAAAACAAGGCUAAGAACAUUCAUAUUUAUAAACAAAAAGCCAAGUAUACUAGCAGUUCAGGAGUUGUUAGUUUUCUUCAAAUUUACAGAAAAUACACUCUUUUCUACAGUGGGAUAUAUUCUGAUCCUUUCUUUUCAGGAAUUCAGCUAGCAGAAACAAGCAAUGACUCUGUUUUGUGUGUACAUUGCUUUGUUGCUGAGCGAACCAGCCUCCUACAUACAAAGAAUUACAGAAAGUGGCAUUUUCUUAUCUAAGUGCAGAUGGAUACAAGGCAGGUAUCUACAUCCCAGUCAGCCAUUUAAAUUUCUAUUACAACAAACAGAGACCUAGGACUCACUGCAGUGUCCUAACACAGAUGUCAACAGAGGACCAGUAGUAUGAAACCAGUGCCACCAGAGAUGCCCUGAGGCAUCUGCAUGGUGGCAGAUAUAAUCUGCAAGCCUCUGGAUCAGCCUGGAAGCUAGGCAAAAUGCCCAAAGGCAUCUCAGAUAGUAUCAGAUGUCACUGUUCAGGCAACUGAAUCAAGCCCUUAGUCAAUGCAGUCAACAAAAUUUAGCCCUAUCCAUCCCACCAAAUACAGGUGUCUACUUGAGGAAGACAUUGUGUGUUGAAGUGGGUACCAAGUGUGCUGACCACUUCCCUGACAGCAAAAGGAACACAGGGGCUCUCUCACACCUUCAUUAUGCAGCUGAGCUCACCCACAAAUGUUCUACGAUAUUUUGAAAACAUGUAUGUACAUUUAUGGAAGAAGGUACCCAUGAACACCAUAAAACAAAGUGUCUGUUCCUUUCCACACUACAAAUAACACAACUGUUCUUAUCCAUCCCCCAUAAAAAGACCCUUAUGCAUUUCCUUCGAAUUCUGGGCAAAUUGUAAGUUUGUUUUGUUCACAGAGAGAAUUUACAUAUGUCAUUACAUGGAAAUUAUUUGCCAUUCUGUUGUUACAGCAGCUGAUGAUACAGCAAACAAUGCUAUCAAUACAGUACAGCCUGAUGUCAAUAUUCUUUUUUUUUUUUUUUUUUUUUUUAUAAAAAACUCAACUCUGUUUUGGUUAUUACUUAAUUUUAAAGCCACACUUUUAAGUUAAGCUGUUCAUGGUGCUCUUUGUUAAUAUCCAACAGGUUUACAAAAAUAUUCAAAGCUAGUUUCUUUAAAGCACAUUUGAUCAGCCAUGGCAUUUUUCAUUUUUUCAUUUUCAUUUCAUUUUCAUUUCAUUUUUUCAUUGAUUUCAGUGACUGAGAUUUUUCAGUUUUAGAUCAAAAUUUUAAAACUGUUAAGACAGCUACAAAUUUCUGAUAAAAAGGUCAUGAUGUUUAUUUUUUCAUUUUAGAUACCCAAAACCAGAAGCUUUAAUCGCUGUCCCUUUUGAAAAUAUUUGAUUUUAUCUAUACUGACCCUAUUAAUUCACAUCCUGAUAAUAAAUUCCACCAACAGGCUUUUUCUGUCUCAUAAAAUAUAAUCCAAUUGGUGUCCACACAACACAUUUUUUGAAUGAUUACCUCAUUGCCUCAUGACUUUUUUACAGAAUUACAGUAUCCAUCAUUUUAGGUUUCCUGUCUUCUGACCACUAAAUAUUGGUCUAACUGAUUUUCUCAGCUGCAUUGUAUAAUUUUGAAAGAAUAUUAAG